GCUGAACGCUGGCGGCGUGCCUAAUACAUGCAAGUCGAGCGAACAGACGAGGAGCUUGCUCCUCUGACGUUAGCGGCGGAAGGGUGAGUAACACGUGGAUAACCUACCUAUAAGACUGGGAUAACUUCGGGAAACCGGAGCUAAUACCGGAUAAUAUUUUGAACCGCAUGGUUAAAUAGUGAAAGACGGUUUUGCUGUCACUUAUAGAUGGAUCAGCGCCGCAUUAGCUAGUUGGUAAGGUAACGGCUUACCAAGGCAACGGUGCGUAGCCGACCUGAGAGGGUGAUCGGGCACACGGGAACUGAGACACGGUCCAGACCCCUACGGGAGGCAGCAGUAGGGAAUCUUCCGCAAUGGGCGAAAGCUUGACGGAGCAACGCCGCGUGAGUGAUGAAGGUCUUCGGAUCGUAAAACUCUGUUAUUAGGGAAGAACAAAUGUGUAAGUAACUAUGCACGUCUUGACGGUACCUAAUCAGAAAGCCAGGGCUAACUACGUG
rnacentral:rRNA from 1 species